GGAAGGGUGGCUGAGUGGUUAAAGGCACCCGACUCGAAAUCGGGAGAGCGCUCAAAAGGUGCUCCGUGGGUUCGAAUCCCACCCCUUCCG
rnacentral:tRNA from 1 species